rfam:Bombyx mori DNA, contig: Bm_scaf3_contig3311, strain: p50T/Dazao, build 2, whole genome shotgun sequence.
UUAACUCAAAUUUGUAUGGAGUUAGAAUGUUUGCCUACGUUUGCCGCUAGGGGUGCUGAUCCAACUCCAUACAAAUUUGAGUUA